GGAUGAUACAAAGAAGAGGGCAUAUAAAACCCGUGACACGACGCAUGAUUGUCUCUUUUCCACUCAUUGUACAGCGAUUUGAAGUGGUGUUCCGUUGUAACAUGUCCUCGUCGGGAGAUUGUUUUCUGAUUUCAAACAUUAUGGUACUAGGCGUGCACGUGGGAUUGGGUGAAUGGCGCCGAAGCACGUGCUUGAAGAGAACGUGAUGAAAGGGUCAAAGGGAUGAAAAUCCAGUCGAGUGAUUGUACAGACACAAUCAAAUGUGGCGAAAUAUUGUGCUUUCACUGAUGGUGAGAACAUGGAAGUUUCUACUUCAAAGAGGCUGAAAGAGCUUUCACUGAUGGUGAGAACAUGGAAGUUUCUACUGAAAAGAUACUGUGGUUGCAAAAGAGCUUUCACUGAUGGUGAGAACAUGGAAUUUUUUACUGCUGAGAUGCUGAGUUGGCAAAAGAGGUGUGACUCGUUCAGCCUUGGUUGCCUAAAGUUCAACGAGCCCUCUUUGUGGAUGGAUGUGCUGCUAUAAUAUUUUACAGAUGAGUGCAUAUCUGCAACCCAUGAAUGCUGUUGCCACAUUGUGUACUCUUAAUGAACAUGGUUAAUUUGAAUGUCUUGUGCUGUUCCAAUAAAAUAUAUAA